rnacentral:rRNA from 1 species
ACGCUCGACACCUACGGGGGGCAGCAGUGGGGAAUAUUGCACAAUGGAGGAAACUCUGAUGCAGCGAUGCCGCGUGAGGGAAGAAGGUUUUCGGAUUGUAAACCUCUGUCUUUGGGGACGAUAAUGACGGUACCCAAGGAGGAAGCUCCGGCUAACUACGUGCUAGCAGCCGCGGUAAUCUGAGCGGGCUGGCAAGGC